UACGUAGGGGGCAAGCGUUAUCCGGAUUUACUGGGUGUAAAGGGAGCGUAGGUGGCAUGGUAAGUCAGAUGUGAAAGCCCAGGGCUCAACCCUGGGACUGCAUUUGAAACUAUCAAGCUAGAGUGCAGGAGAGGUAAGUGGAAUUCCUAGUGUAGCGGUGAAAUGCGUAGAUAUUAGGAGGAACACCAGUGGCGAAGGCGGCUUACUGGACUGUAACUGACACUGAGGCUCGAAAGCGUGGGGAGCAAAC
rnacentral:rRNA from 1 species